rnacentral:rRNA from 1 species
UACGAAGGGGGCUAGCGUUGUUCGGAAUUACUGGGCGUAAAGCGCGUAGGCGGUUCGGUAAGUCCGCUGUGAAAGUCGGGGGCUCAACCCUCGGAUGCCGGUGGAUACUGUCGGACUAGAGUGCGGAAGAGGCGAGUGGAAUUCCUGGUGUAGCGGUGAAAUGCGCAGAUAUCAGGAGGAACACCGAUUGCGAAGGCAGCUCGCUGGGACGUUACUGACGCUGAGACGCGAAAGCGUGGGGAGCAAACAGG